UCCUUCAUAUGUGGGAGUGCCCUGCAGUUAAAUGCUUUGAAUCUACUAUGUUACUUAACGAUGAUAGCCCAUUGAAUAUCUCAAUACAUUUUUCCUUGUCUCUGUGGGGUAAAAGCUAAACGGUGAUUACUUUCACAUUGCCCACAUUUGGAAGCUCCAGCGAGAGUAGGUUGUGGAAGGUCUUCAAUUAUUUGUCAAUUAAACACAUUUUUAUUUGUAACCUUCAUUUACGGCCUACCCCGGUCAAACCCUCCCCUAACCCGUACAACGCUGGGCCAACUAAGUCAAUUAAACUUAUGACAAAAUAUGUCAGCCAGAUAUUAAAGUAUGACUGUAAUCACUAUAACAAAUGCAACACAGUACUGUCUUUUAACGUUAGCUAGCUAAGGUGGGAGUGGCUAAGGACUUAACCGUAAAUUUAGCCCAAAGACCGGCAGCUGGCGAUAUUGAGUGAGAUUGUCAGUCAUAUUGGUCAAAUUAAACGACGCAAUGUCACCAUCUGCCGGCCUAUGGUCUACCGUCAACAUUUGGACCAACGUUGACCAUUAAGUCCUGAGGUACUCCCACAAUAGCUAGCGACAAUCUUUAGCUAAUGUUUGUGUGAGAGAUGUAACGGGCAAGCUAGCAGCACAUCCACAUUACCAAGGGACUGAGGUCAACACUGUUGAACAACAUCACAGCCUCUUGAAUGACAAAUCCUCAGUGUCAUCAGCAUCCGAUUCCAUCAACAAGGCACCAUUUGUUAGGCCAGUGAAAUUCCACUUCAUGGAUUUAUGGACUGUGGAAGAACCAGCCUUUAGUAAAUGCCUCUGACAGCAUUUUGACCUUGUCGGCCAACUGUGAAACAGCUUAGGCCUGUUGGAGCUGUCACAGAAAGGUUAUGAACUUUGUUUCAGCCAGACUACCAGAACAGAGGGUGGUGCGGCGUGCACAACGCAUCACCGGGGGCAAACUACCUGCCCUCCAGGACAGCUACAGCACCUGAUGUCACAGGAAGACCAAAAAGAACAUCAAGGACAACAACCACCCGAACCACUGCCUGUUCACCCCUCUACCACCCAGAAGGUGAGAUCAGUACAGGUGCAUCAAAGCUGGGACCGUGAGACUGAAAAACAGCUUCUAUCUCAAGGCCAUCAGACUGUUAAACAGCCAUCACUAGCACAGAGGCUGCUGCCUAUGUACAAACUUGAAAUCAUUGGCCACUUUAAUAAAUGGAACACCAGUCACUUUAAUAAUGUUUACAUAUCUUGCAUUACUCAUCUCAUAUGUAUAGGUAUUCUAUACUAUCUAUUGCAUUUUAUCCUAUGCCGUUCUGACAUUGCUCAUCCAUAUAUUUAUAUAUUUUUAUUCCAUUCCUUUACUUAGAUUUGUGUGUAUUCGGUAUUUGUUGUGGAAUUGUUAGAUAUUGCUGCACUGUCGGAACUAGGAGCACAAGCAUUUCGCUGCAAUCGCAAUAACAUUUGCUAACCGUGUGUAUGUGACCAAAUACAAUUUUAUUUUAUUUUAUUUUACAUAUUUGAACUUCUUUGGCAAAUAUGUCCUUUUGGCUCCAGGGCCGGAGUUUUCCCUUUGACAAAGCCUGCCUACUUGACAUCUUUAAGAUGUGGUCCUCGGAUGGGGCCACAGUGUCUCCUGACCCCUCCUGUCUCAGCCUCCAGUAUUUAUGCUGCAGUAGUUUAUGUGUCGGGGGGCUAGGGUCAGUUUGUUAUAUCUGGAGUACUUCUCCUGUCCUAUUCGGUGUCCUGUGUGAAUCUAAGUGUGCGUUCUCUAAUUCUCUCCUUCUCUCUUUCUUUCUCUCUCUCGGAGGACCUGAGCCCUAGGACCAUGCCCCAGGACUACCUGACAUGAUGACUCCUUGCUGUCCCCAGUCCACCUGGCCAUGCUGCUGCUCCAGUUUCAACUGGCCUGGGCCCUAGGACCAUGUCCCAGGACUACCUGACAUGAUGACUCCUUGCUGUCCCCAGUCCACCUGGCCAUGCUGCUGCUCCAGUUUCAACUGUUCUGCCUUACUAUUAUUCAACCAUGCUGGUCAUUUAUGAACAUUUGAACAUCUUGGCCACGUUCUGUAAUAAUCUCCACCCGGCACAGCCAGAAGAGGACUGGCCACCCCACAUAUGCUCUCUCUAAUUCUCUCUUUCUUUCUCUCUUUCGGAGGACCUGAGCCCUAGGACCGUGCCCCAGGACUACCUGACAUGAUGGCUCCUUGCUGUCCCCAGUCCACCUGACUGUGCUGCUGCUCCAGUUUCAACUGUUCUGCCUUAUUAUUAUUCGACCAUGCUGGUCAUUUAUGAACAUUUGAACAUCUUGGUCAUGUUCUAUUAUAAUCUCUACCCGGCACAGCCAGAAGAGGACUGGCCACCCCACAUAGCCCGGUUCCUCUCUAGGUUUCUUCCUAGGUUUUGGCCUUUCUAGGGAGUUUUUCCUAGCCACCGUGCUUUUACACCUGCAUUGUUUUCUGUUUGGGGUUUUAGGCUGGGUUUCUGUACAGCACUUUGAGAUAUCAGCUGAUGUACGAAGGGCUAUAUAAAUACAUUUGAUUUGAUUUGAUUUAAGUUAUUGUACCAUCUUCCAUCAUACCAUCAUGUUACUGUCCUCUGGAAAAUGUGGUAUGUGGUUCAGAACACUUGAUAAUAAAUAGACCUUACCAAGACUGUACUGUAUACAUUAUAUGAAAGGACUAGAACAAGUAUUAAUGUAUUCAAAAUAUGAAAAUAAGUUUGAAAUGGGCUUGUUUGAACCCUGAGGUUUGUUAACCGUCGCUGUCAGAUUUUAAGGUUUUGAAGAGGCAUAAAAUAAAUUCUCCCUAUGAUGUAAUCUCAAGCAUUUCUAGUUGGGAAACGAUUUCAUCACUUGUGUCAUGGAUUUAUAUUGACUGAAAUAUGACACGUUUGGAAGUUGUGAUCACCUGAAUGAUGCCUCCAAAUAGUUGCGUUGACCAUGGUCCGACUCUCCCUGGAGGCUUGCCAUUUGGCAGAUCCGUAAGAGAAAUAAAUAUUUGGAAUCGAAAAGGAUCUCAGGAUUAUUUGUCCGACAUACUCCCAAAAAACAAACACUAUUUACAUGUACAAACUUUGGCACUGUGACACGUGACAUACUUGAACUUCAAAGUCGGAUUGUAAAGGUGGAGUUGUCAGUGUACUUUAACAUUAGUACUCCUUGCAUGAUGUAAACUUUGUAACUAACUUAAGUGGGUGUGUGUGGAAUUAUUAUUCUAUGGCUAAUCAUAUUUUGUAAUAUAUUCCAUUGUAUAUCUUGUUCCAUUUGAUGUUGGGUAUUGACAAUCGAGUGUGCAUUUCCAAAAAUGUCCCAACAACUUGGGAACCAAAGCAACAGGACAACAUUUUUUUUUUCUUUAUAAUCAUCUGCAAUUCGUAGAUUUCAGAAAUCUGCAGAGAAGUAAAACAAUUUUAAAAAAGGUGAGGUACUAUCAGGCUUUUCCUCAAAUUGUGUGCAACAAGAUGAAUAUAUAAGACAUUUCUGUUUUGUAUUUUAUUUACAUUUUUAUAAUCUGCAAUUAGUGGAUUUUCAUUUCUGUUUACACUUCAAAAAGUUGCAUUGCAUCCUCUUAGUCUUGUUGCAAAGUUUGGGAAUACGAGGACCACAUCUACAGUUGAAGUCUGAAGUUUACAUACACCUUAGCCAAAUAUUUCAAAAUAAAUAAAAUAUGAAAUAAAUCAUUCUCUCUACUAUCAUUCUGACAUUUCACGUUCUUAAAAUUAAAGUGGUGAUCCUAACUGACCUAAGACAGGGAAUUUUUACUCUGAUUAAAUGUCAGGAAUUGUGAAAAACUGAGUUUAAAUGUAUUUGGCUAAGGUGUAUGUAAACUUCCGACUUCAACUGUAGAAUUGCUGGGACAUUAUCAUUCAAUUGCAUUUGACAUCUCAUGUUUUGUCUGAGAAAAGCUUCACUGUUGUGCUACAGGUACUGCCUCCAAAGUGCAAACCAAGCGCUAUGGGCACACUUUCUUGCUUCUAGGACAGGAACUUGUGAGAAAACAAUGAAUGAUAUGUGGGGAAAACAGAUACCCAGACAGGUUAGAUUAGAAGAAUUGAUUCCAAAUGAUUUACCUUCUAAUUAAAAGUCUCCUUGUCCUGGUA